rnacentral:rRNA from 1 species
AGGGUGUAAACGCUGCGGGCUUGGUGUUGGGGGUCCUUUGAGGGCGCCCAGUGCCGGAGAGAAGUUGUUAAGCCUGCUGCUUGGGGAGUACGUCCGCAAGGAUGAAACUUAAAGGAAUUGGCGGGGGAGCACCGCAACGGGAGGAGCGUGCGGUUCAAUUGGAUUCAACGCCGGAAAUCUUACCGGGACCGACAGCAACAUGAAGGCCAGGCUGAAGACUUUGCCGGAUUAGCUGAGAGGAGGUGCAUGGCGUAGUCGUGU